AUGACAACAGAACCCACAACAACCAUGACUUUUAUCACCAUCUUCAUCUGGAUAUUUGCCUUCUACAUCAAGGAAUCCAGAGGACAGUACACUGUGACUCAGACUCCUGCAGUGAAAGCUGUUCUCCCAGAACAGACAGUCUCUCUGAACUGUAAAACCAGCAGUAAUGUGCAUGGAGAUUGUUACAUUGGUCAGUCAGGGGGCCAUCAGUGUCUAACCUGGUACCAACAGAAACCUGGAGAAAAACCCAAACUCAUUAUGCUCCCAGGGAACAAACUCCAUUCUGGGACUCCUAGAUUCAGUGGCAGUGGAUCUGGGAGUGACUUCACUCUGACCAUCAGUGGAGUCCAGGCUGAAGAUGCAGGAGAUUACUACUGUCAGAGUUUACACUAUCCCAAUAGUGUCUGGGUGUUCACACAGUGA